UACGGAGGGGGGUUAGCGUUGUUCGGAAUGACUGGGCGUAAAGCGCGCGUAGGCGGAUCAGGAAGUUGGGGGGUGAAAUCCCCGGGGCUCAACCCCGGAAUGGCCUUCAAAAACUCCUGGUCUUGAGUUCGAGAGAGGUGAGUGGAAUUCCGAGUGUAGAGGUGAAAAUUCGUAGAUAUUCGGGAGGAACACCAGUGGCGAAGGCGGCUCACUGGCUCGACACUGACGCUGAGGUGCGAAAGCGUGGGGGAGCAAACAGG
rnacentral:rRNA from 1 species